rnacentral:rRNA from 1 species
UUAACACAUGCAAGUCGAACGAUGAAGCCCUUCGGGGUGGAUUAGUGGCGAACGGGUGAGUAACACGUGGGCAAUCUGCCCUUCACUCUGGGACAAGCCCUGGAAACGGGGUCUAAUACCGGAUAAUACCUGCCUGGGCAUCUGGGUGGGUUGAAAGCUCCGGCGGUGAAGGAUGAGCCCGCGGCCUAUCAGCUUGUUGGUGAGGUAGUGGCUCACCAAGGCGACGACGGGUAGCCGGCCUGAGAGGGCGACCGGCCACACUGGGACUGAGACACGGCCCAGACUCCUACGGGAGGCAGCAGUGGGGAAUAUUGCACAAUGGGCGAAAGCCUGAUGCAGCGACGCCGCGUGAGGGAUGACGGCCUUCGGGUUGUAAACCUCUUUCAGCAGGGAAGAAGCGAGAGUGACGGUACCUGCAGAAGAAGCGCCGGCUAACUACGUGCCAGCAGCCGCGGUAAUACGUAGGGCGCAAGCGUUGUCCGGAAUUAUUGGGCGUAAAGAGCUCGUAGGCGGCUUGUCACGUCGGGUGUGAAAGACCGGGGCUUAACCCCGGUUCUGCAUUCGAUACGGGCUAGCUAGAGUGUGGUAGGGGAGAUCGGAAUUCCUGGUGUAGCGGUGAAAUGCGCAGAUAUCAGGAGGAACACCGGUGGCGAAGGCGGAUCUCUGGGCCAUUACUGACGCUGAGGAGCGAAAGCGUGGGGAGCGAACAGGAUUAGAUACCCUGGUAGUCCACGCCGUAAACGGUGGGAACUAGGUG